AGUCAACCUACCCUAUGGACGGGAAUAGCCUCGGGAAACUGAGAAUAAUGCCCGAUAGAACAUUAUGCCUGGAAUGGUUUAUGUUCCAAAUGAUUCAUCGCCGUAGGAUGGGACUGCGGCCUAUCAGUUUGUUGGUGAGGUAAUGGCCCACCAAGACUAUUACAGGUACGGGCUCUGAGAGGAGUAGCCCGGAGAUGGGUACUGAGACACGGACCCAGGCCCUAUGGGGCGCAGCAGGCGAGAAAACUUUGCAAUGUGCGAAAGCACGACAAGGUUAAUCCGAGUGGUUUCUGCUAAAGGAACCUUUUGUCGGUCCUAGAAACACCGAUGAAUAAGGGGUGGGCAAGUUCUGGUGUCAGCCGCCGCGGUAAAACCAGCACCUCAAGUGGUCAGGAUGAUUAUUGGGCCUAAAGCAUCCGUAGCCUGCUUUGUAAGUUUUCGGUUAAAUCCAUGUGCUCAACACAUGGGCUGCCGGGAAUACUGCACAGCUAGGGAGUGGGAGAGGUAGACGGUACUUGAUAGGAAGGGGUAAAAUCCUUUGAUCUAUUGAUGACCACCUGUGGCGAAGGCGGUCUACCAGAACACGUCCGACGGUGAGGGAUGAAAGCUGGGGGAGCAAACCGGAUUAGAUACCCGGGUAGUCCCAGCUGUAAACUAUGCAAACUCAGUGAUGCAUUGGCUUGUGGCUAAUGCAGUGCU
rnacentral:rRNA from 1 species